CUUCAUCCGCCAGGUGACCGACGCCGAGACCAAGCCCAAAUCCACGUGAAUCCGCUGUGAUCGCAGACGUCACGUUCACUCACCAUGAAACGUUCUGCUGCCACUCGUUUCCAUCACGUCUGUCUGUCUUUUUAUUCUGUCUCUGUCAACAGAUAAAAUUCAGUGUUUUCAUUUUGUUUUGCCCUCCAAUGUGUGUAUUUUUUAUGUGCUUAAGAACAAUAAAAUAUCCUUUUUAUACACUGAA